CCGAAAAUGACGGUUUAACUCCAUCCCCCACUA
rnacentral:tRNA from 2 species